AUGCAGCAGAAGGUACCUGGCACUGCCCCUGUCACUGUGAUCUACUGGAAUGACAAGCGACCCUCGGACAUCCCUUCGCGAUUCUCCGGGUCCAAGUCCGGCUCCACGGCCACGUUGACCAUCGCUGGGGUCCAAGCCGAGGACGAGGCUGUCUAUUACUGUGGUUCCCUGGUCCAGGCAGCACUGACUCAGCUGGCCUCGGUGUCAGUGAACCUGGGACAGACCAUCCAGAUCACCUGCUCGGGGAGUAGCAACAACUACUAUGGCUGGAUGCAGCAGAAGGCACCUGGUACUGCCCCUAUCACUGUGAUCUACAUGAACGACAAGCGACCCUCGGACAUCCCUUCACGAUUCUCCGGGUCCCAGUCCGGCUCCACGGCCACGUUGAACAUC